rnacentral:rRNA from 1 species
CGUCAAGUCAUCAUGCCCCUUAUGCCCAGGGCUGCACGCAUGCUACAAUGGCCGGUACGGAGGGCUGCGAUACCGUGAGGUGGAGCGAAUCCCUAAAAGCCGGUCUCAGUUCGGAUCGAAGUCUGCAACUCGACUUCGUGAAGUCGGAAUUGCUAGUAAUCGCGGAUCAGCAUGCCGCGGUGAAUACGUUCCCGGGUCUU